rnacentral:lncRNA from 1 species
AACCAUGCCCCAGAGCAUUGGAUGAACGGCGUUUGCGUUAAUUAAUAAAUCAGAUGACAUCUCCGCUCAGCUGCAGGCUCUGCUGUGGAAACUCUCCCGGUGGCCUGGGAAAUGGUGACUGUGGAUUCCUGAUUGAUUACAGCUGUCGUGUCCUCUGUUAUUCAGUCCAACAAGUCAAUCAGCACAUCCUGAGCGUCUACCUGGCACUCACCUGGUUUUGUGAGGGGAGGGGGAGCGGACAUAGCACGAAGAAGGCAAUGUCUGCAUGCACGACUAACUAUAAUAAGCGGUGUUUACGAUCAAGCCACAAAAUUCUGCUGAGCAGAGAAGGGAUAGGUUAAUUGGGGGCAGCAAUCAGGAAAAGCCACACGGAGGAGCUGGAUCUUGAAGAUAAAGGUCAGAGUAUGACAGACAGCAUGGUCGGGCUUUCGGAUACUACGUGAGGGCGUGAGCAAAGACACAGACAAGCAUUUAGGGAGCAGAUGCAGCCCUUUCCCUGGGGAGAUUGGAGUACCUGGAAUAUGGUGAUCUUAGUGGCAGAGAGGCCUAGAAUGACUGGCUGGGACAGAGGGCAUUGGAGUGGGUGGUGAUGACUAGAAACAUGGUGAGGAAGGUCUUGACUUUAUUCCUUCUAGAGGCCACAGGGUGAGGGGACUGGCCUCGGAGCUUCGUGUGGCCACCGGGGCUGCAGGAACCAGGACACUGAUAACCACAGCCUUCAUGGCAGAUAUGGGGCCGGGAGGGCAGGCCCUGACCCUUGUAACCAAAUACCUCAGACAGGACCAUGCUGACAGUCCUGCUCAGUAAAUAUUUGCUGAUGACCAGCAUGACGACGCUUGGAGAAACUAACCCCCACCAAACUGUUCAGGAAAACAUUCUUCUUUCAUCACUGACCAAUGGAAUUUCUGUAUCCCAGAGAUGUUGUCUCAGGCAUGUGAGUUGAGGUCUGUGGAACUGUCAUAUGAUAGGGGUGAGGGCUGGGAAACAUCCAUCUUGGCUCCAGGGCCUCCUUUCUUCUGGGUGUGGGUCACCAGCACCCUCAUAGGGGCGACCUUCCUUUUUCCAUUCCAGUUUGAAAGCAGCAGUCUCCUGGAAGGCCCUCCCUCCCUCUGCGCAGGCUGGGAUCGUGUUUGUGCGUGAACUGAUGGGUAUUCUAUACCCCCUCUGCGCCCAACCCCACAAUACCCGCCUGUUCUCUAAGCACCAGCCCAAAGCCACUCCAGCUUCUCAGGUUUCAUAACUGCCCGGCGGACACACCUGGUCCUUCUUCCCCUGGGGCUGCAAGGUUGGAGGCCAAGGGGGCUCAUGGGAGAGAACCGCUUGGAAGCUGCCGACGUGGCGCUCCUGUGCCCUGUCUGGGUGUUGGGAAGCCUCACAGCUGCUGGGGCCAGCCGAGCCUCCCCCUCGCUGACUUGGGGCUUCUGUGUCAGGGUGUUGGUGAAGCGGCGUUUUGGCAAGAGCCUCGGCAGCUGCUGCCAGGAGGAGGCUGAAGGGAGAUAAUUAGACCUGGUAAUUGGUUUGCUUUUUGCUUUUUUACAG